UUGAUCCUGGCUCACAACGAACGUCUGGCGGCGCGUUUAAGCAUGCAAGUCGAACGGUAGUAAGGUGCUUGCACCUUAUGAGAGUGGCGAACGGGUGAGUAACACGUAGGUGAUCUACCGUAAAGUUGGGGAUAGCCUGUGGAAACACAGGGUAAUACCGGAUAAUUCUUAUUGUUUACGGACGAUAAGGGAAAGGGGCCACGGCCCUGCUUUUCGAAGAGCCUGCGUUCCAUUAGUUAGUUGGCAGGGUAACGGCCUACCAAGGCGACGAUGGAUAGCCGGCCUGAGAGGGUGACCGGCCACACUGGGACUGAGACACGGCCCAGACUCCUACGGGAGGCAGCAGCUAAGAAUCUUCCGCAAUGGGCGAAAGCCUGACGGAGCGACGCCGCGUGGACGAAGGAGGCCGGAAGGUUGUAAAGUCCUUUUCUCGAUGAAGAAUAAGGCAGCGAGGGAAUGCGCUGUCGAUGACAUUAGUUGAGGAAUAAGCCCCGGCUAAUUACGUGCCAGCAGCCGCGGUAACACGGUAAGGGGCGAGCGUAGUCGGGAAUCAUUGGGCGUAAAGGGCGCGUAGGCGGCUUGGCAAGCCUGGUGUGAA
rnacentral:rRNA from 1 species